rnacentral:lncRNA from 1 species
ACCAACCUCGUCGCUAGCCGGCACCCUAUUCUCCUUUGCUUCCACCGAACAUCUCUUGUAUGGUUUGAAGCCUGUUUUGCGUGAUUUAAGCUUCAGGUGUGACAGUUCAUUGGGGAAGGAAGUUCUUGGCUCAUCCAUCAUGUCAAGAUCAUGAUCAAUUGUUGUGGCGUUCUUGUUGAGGUCAACCGUCACUGUGGUCACUUCAUCUUCCUCCUCCUUGGCAACCUCCUUUGAUUCUUCUGCCUGUGGGGGAGAAAAGCUUUGUGGAAGCUUUUCUCUACUGAACAGCGCAUCGAAAGCCAUACGACCCUGUCAACAAAAAUGUGAAUUAGAAAAAUGAUGGAUGCUCAAAUAUUUAGAUAGAAGUGAUUUUGCAUAUUGUUGGUAGGCUACAACCUCUUCAGAAACUUCCUUCCAUGAAUCACUUGUGCUUCCACUGCUUCUAAAUUUGCGGUGGUUAGUGUCACCGGCUGAAGAGUUACUGCAGGAGGCUUGCUUUGCCUUGUCAUUGGCCUUAUCUUCUUUCUCAGGAACAUUUCCUGCCUCUACAUCGCUACUUGAAGGUGUGUUGGAGCCACAUGAAGAGCGAUCCUGCUUUUUCUUAUUCCUGAAUGCAUCACUAAUGUCAGCUCCUGUAGUAGGUGCAGCAUCAGUAUUCUGGACAGGAGAUAUCUUUAACUCAGUAUGGAGAGACAUGUCGCCUUUUCUAGUCCCAUCAGACUCUGAAGACACAGCAACUCUCAAAGCUUCAGACUGGCCUUGUUUCUGAGCCUCUUGGCAUCCCUUCUGUGCAUUUUCAACUGGGGAAUCUCUGUCUUUGUCUAAAGGUCGUGGAACAUCUGCUGUGGGAAAGGCAGCACUAGGAGCUGGUACAAAUGGAAAAGCCAUGGGGGGAGUGAAAAAAGGGAGAAGACCUUGUGUUGCCCACCAUGCAGAUGCUGCAGCAACUGUAGCUGCUACAAUAGAAGCCAUGCUUGGAGGAGAGCCUAAGUUCCUUCCUUGAACACCCUCUGCAGGAUUUUCUUGAGUUGGAUCAACAGGAGUGUUACCUUCUGCUGCUGGCCAGUACGAUGCUGCGAGCCUAGCGGCUGCAUGGAUGGCAGGGUUUGACAACAAUGUGGAAACAAGCAUGCUGGAGAAAGUGGAUGACAUGUUGACGAAUGUUCUGUAGGUAUCUUGGUUGCAGUUGCACUGCAUCAUCGGAGCAAAGGCAGCAUAGUUAUGAGGAAAAGGUUGUGGUGUGGCACUGCUAUCAAAUUUUGGAUCCGUAGAAAGCAUUGGAUGGAUGCAUGGGUUCAUACUUCCAUUGACUCCCACUUGAUCGCCUGUUUGAUCAGGACGAGUUCCGUCAGUUCCAGUAACAGGAAUGCUAGUUGCCCCAUUUCUCUCCGCCAGGGAGUGUGAGGUCCUUGCAGUUUGUUUGUCCACGUAUGUUGUCUCCGAAGACUUUGGCUUUAGCUUCAUUUGUUGCAUUGAGAAGUCCAAAUAUUCUUCAUUAGAAUAGUCACAUUUAGAGCUGACGUGGAUUCCAUUAACCCUUCCAAUUUCCGGAACAUCGAUCUCUUUUACAUCCUCUUGCAUGGUGGGAUUAAUAGAAUUCUUUUCUGUGGUGGUCAUAUCUCGGAUUUCUGUUUUGGUUGGUUCAACCCCCCUGGGUACACCAUUAUUCGAAGAGCUUUUGUUAACUGAAGAAAAUGAUGCAGAUGGAGCAUCUCGGAAGAGAUUAAGAACUUCCGAGCAACUUCCUUUUUCAGACACCUCUUUCCUCUGAAAUUUCUGGAUGCAAGCCGGUUUACAUUUAAAGAAAAUGAAAGAUAUUAAUACAGAGGUUAAAUUAGGAAAAUCUUAAGAAAACAUAAUACCAUGGAGCAUUUACCUGCAGAGACAUAUCGCCUACCAUUUGUACAUUGCCACUGCUCAGUGUAAUAUUUGAUUUUGAUGACUUGUCAUUUGGAAGUUCCUUCGUUGGUGUUUCAGAGCUGAGACCAUUUUUUCGAGGAUAUGGACUGUUAGGCUUCCUUUUAGGCCGUGGUGGAGGUAUGUCAAUGUCAUGAGCUUGCCCUGGAGAAGUCCCGUUGUUCAUAGCUUCCUUUU